rnacentral:rRNA from 1 species
AGCGAACGCUGGCGGCAGGCCUAACACAUGCAAGUCGAACGCCCCUUCGGGGGAGUGGCGGACGGGUGAGUAACGCGUGGGAACGUGCCCUUUGGUACGGAACAACUGAGGGAAACUUCAGCUAAUACCGUAUGAGCCCCCAUUCUUAGCGGGAUGGGUGGGAAAGAUUUAUCGCCGAAGGAGCGGCCCGCGUUGGAUUAGCUAGUUGGUGGGGUAAAGGCCCACCAAGGCUACGAUCCAUAGCUGGUCUGAGAGGAUGAUCAGCCACACUGGGACUGAGACACGGCCCAGACUCCUACGGGAGGCAGCAGCGGGGAAUCUUGCGCAAUGGGCGAAAGCCUGACGCAGCCAUGCCGCGUGAAUGAUGAAGGUCUUAGGAUUGUAAAAUUCUUUCACCGGGGAAGAUAAUGACGGUACCCGGAGAAGAAGCCCCGGCUAACUUCGUGCCAGCAGCCGCCGUAAAAC